rnacentral:rRNA from 1 species
AUGAACGCUGGCGGCGUGCCUAAUACCUUCCAGUCGCGCGAACAGACGAGGAGCUUGCUCCUUCGACGUUAGCGGCGGACGGGUGAGUAACACGUAGGUAACCUACCUAUAAGACUGGGAUAACUUCGGGAAACCGGAGCUAAUACCGGAUAAUAUUUCGAACCGCAUGGUUCGAUAGUGAAAGAUGGCUUUGCUAUCACUUAUAGAUGGACCUGCGCCGUAUUAGCUAGUUGGUAAGGUAACGGCUUACCAAGGCAACGAUACGUAGCCGACCUGAGAGGGUGAUCGGCCACACUGGAACUGAGACACGGUCCAGACUCCUACGGGAGGCAGCAGUAGGGAAUCUUCCGCAAUGGGCGAAAGCCUGACGGAGCAACGCCGCGUGAGUGAUGAAGGUCUUCGGAUCGUAAAACUCUGUUAUUAGGGAAGAACAAACGUGUAAGUAACUGUGCACGUCUUGACGGUACCUAAUCAGAAAGCCACGGCUAACUACGUG